GACGAAUGUUCAGCAAUUCACCCCUGGUGAAACUGAUCGUGUUUGAAAAAAAAAAAAAAAAAAAAAACAGGAAAAACUAACAAAAACACUAAAACAUACUGCAUGCAUGAACUAAUUCUCGCCGGGAUAGAAAGUUAAAAGUUUAAAGAUAAAAUUUUAAACUUAUGACCUUAAUAUAUGCAAUACACAACAAAAUAAUAAUCCUCCUUUAGGAUUCAUUGAAUUUACUCUUUUUUUUUUAAGGUAAGUGGUUGCAAUCAAUUUAUUUUAGCUAGAUUUAAAUAAAUACAUUUCAUUGAACAACUUUCAAAAUUGUUAAACAAAUUGUUUGCAACCACUUACCUUAAAAAAAAAAAAUUCUGAAGGAGAGAUCAUAAAUGGCUUUGCAAAUACACACAGUAAAUUCCUGCUAUGCUUGGACACGAUCUACACAAAAAUCAUAUGCCACACAGUCAGCUUUGUUGAGACUGAAGAAGUGGAGAUUAUGCCUGCAAUCUGGCUGAAGAAUGGCUUAAGCCUAGUCCCAGACAACAAGUGUUUGAGGCAACCCCUGGAGUCUUUGCCUGCAUAUAAAGUUAAACAUAAAACAAGCACCUACUGGAUGAAUGAGACACUGAUAAGGAGGCCACCACAGCCCUAAAAACACUGCCACAAGCGGCUCAAAUACAACCACGAUCCAAACCGAUUUGUUUAACUUCUAACCGAGUCCUCCAACCUAUUGUAAAGGCUGUAAGAAGAAGUCCUGUAUGUGCACACAACUGAGCUGGAGGUCGAAAAAGUUUCAUCUAGCUGGUGACCGUGAGAGUGGCAGAAAGAGAAGAAUGACUUCACAAGAUGUUAAUGUAAACCAAACAAGUUAUUGUUAAGUGAAUCUUUUACUUUUUUUAAUUCAACCAGAUAAGGCCCACAACCAAUUUUCUAUCUGAGGUGCAAUGAAGCCCGUCGGGAUUGUCUCUAGCGUGCACACGUGCCAUUUGUUGGAAAAAGCUAAGCUCAGAUUUUAAAAUAGAGAGUGCAUUUUCAAUACUCACGUGACAAGCACAUAUGCGAAUGACGUCAGAAGGCUAUAAUCGAUUAUGGUCUAUUACUGCAUCAAUGCAGAAUCGUCCACGUUCGCAUCACGAUGCAUCGAUUAAUUUAGGCACCCCUAGUCAUUAUGCAGUAUUUCAUAAUACUGAAUAAACCAUGUUCAUGUAUUGAACA
ensembl:lncRNA